rnacentral:rRNA from 1 species
UACGUAGGGUGCAAGCGUUUAAUCGGAAUUACUGGGCGUAAAGCGUGCGCAGGCGGUUUUGUAAGUCUGUCGUGAAAUCCCCGGGCUCAACCUGGGAAUGGCGAUGGAGACUGCAAGGCUAGAGUUUGGCAGAGGGGGGGUAGAAUUCCACGUGUAGCAGUGAAAUGCGUAGAGAUGCGGAGGAACACCGAUGGCGAAGGCAGCCCCCCUGGGCUGACACUGACGCUCAGGCACGAAAGCGUGGGGAGCAAACAGG